GGGCCCGCACAAGCGGUGGAGCAUGUGGUUUAAUUCGAUGAUACGCGAGGAACCUUACCAGGGCUUAAAUGUAGAACGACCGAUUUGGAAACAAGUCUUCUCUUUGAGCGGUCUACAAGGUGCUGCAUGGUUGUCGUCAGCUCGUGCCGUGAGGUGUCGGGUUAAGUCCCUUAACGAGCGCAACCCCUAUCUCUAGUUGCCAGCGGAUAAUGCCGGGGACUCUAGAGAAACUGCCCGUGCAAACGGUGAGGAAGGUGGGGAUGACGUCAAAUCAUCACGGCCCUUACGUCCUGGGCUACACACGUGCUACAAUGGUCGGUACAGAGGGCAGCUACCACGUGAGUGGAUGCAAAUCUCGAAAGCCGAUCUCAGUUCGGAUUGAAGUCUGCAACUCGACUUCAUGAAGCUGGAAUCGCUAG
rnacentral:rRNA from 1 species